rnacentral:rRNA from 1 species
GCAGAGCAUCCCACGGGAGCAGCAGUGGGGAAUAUUGCACAAUGGGCGCAAGCCUGAUGCAGCCAUGCCGCGUGUAUGAAGAAGGCCUUCGGGUUGUAAAGUACUUUCAGCAGUGAGGAAGGUGGAUAUGUUAAUAGCAUAUUCAUUUGACGUUAGCUGCAGAAGAAGCACCGGCUAACUCCGUGCCAGCAGCCGCGGUAAUACGGAGGGUGCGAGCGUUAAUCGGAAUUACUGGGCGUAAAGCGCAUGCAGGUGGUUUGUUAAGUCAGAUGUGAAAGCCCGGGGCUCAACCUCGGAAUUGCAUUUGAAACUGGCAAACUAGAGUACUGUAGAGGGGGUAGAAUUUCAGGUGUAGCGGUGAAAUGCGUAGAGAUCUGAAGGAAUACCGGUGGCGAAGGCGGCCCCCUGGACAGAUACUGACACUCAGAUGCGAAAGCGUGGGGAGCAAACAGGAUUAUAUACCCUGGUAG